GGAGGCUACUGUAGAAAUCCAGGUGGGAGAAAAUUUGGCUAAGAUGGUAGCCAAGAAGGUGGUAAGGACAGAUCUCUUGUAUUUUGACCAAACAACUGUUGAUUCUACUUCUCUGGAAAUCCCUCACUAACAACAACCAGUGAGCAGUUGGAUAUAUGACUCUGGAGCUUAGUUUCAGCUUUGGAAGAGUUUAUAAGUAGAUCAAUUUCCCAGACAUGCUGCCAACUUCAAGUGAUUUCAAGUGUUAAGCAUUCCAAAAUUACUUCUUUAAGUUGAACUGCAGAUAUUAUCUGCACGGGAGACAAUCAUCCAACCCAGCGCAACUGCUGCUGAAUAAUGCUCUAUCAAGAAAAACAAGCUUUUAAUGAAAGAACUGCUAAUAUUUUUGUGCAUGUUUACAUGUGAAUAGAUGAAUAAAAAAAUCAU